UAGGAGUCCAGAUCACAGCUGGAAAGACUGAACAUUAACAGAAGAAAAGCCACUUCCUUCUCUUUAAUAUGAUGCAGAAGAUAAAUGCAGUUGUAGGAAGGAUUGUACAUUUAGUGGUGGGAUGUGGGAGAAAUUCCCUAUCUCGUGACUUUUUUCUGAAGUAUAAAGGAAAAUCAUUGGCCAAGAGAGAACAUACAAAAUAGUCAUCGCGGAGAGCGAAAAAGUUAUCUGAUUCUCCACGGCGCGGUCAGAGAAGACACUGCCUCUUGAGGACCGCAGACUGCAGCGUUUGCAGUGCGCGUUUGCUGUGGCGGAAGAGAACACCGACGUUCAAGCCCGGGCUCAAGCCACGAUCUCUCAAACCAUGAUGACAUCCGCAGCGAAUUUACAAAAAAAAAAAAAAAAGGCA